CCUAACAAGCCAUUGAGUUAAAGGACAAUUCAGAAUGGACAACAAAUACAGGCCUUGCCAGUGACCCCUGCUUUCUGAAGAAUACAUUUUACAAAGAUGCAGAGGGAAGUGGGGUUAUAGAAAGGUGAAUUGUGGUGGACACAAACAUGAAAGAUAACUGGUUGGUCUUGUAAAUGUUGGGAAUAGAAUGACCAUAUGAGUUAUUAAGAUCAAGGGUGUGGGCAUGAAUAUGGUUAAGGGAUUUUAUAUAGAGGGAGAAGGGGCAGAAAGUAACAUUAUCAUUUGGUAAUACAGACCUUGAAUAUUGUUGAAAAAAGAUGUGUUUUGUGAAACUAUUCGUCUUCCACUUAUCUGGACAAUUCACGAGAAUAUUAAUGAAAGAGAAAGCCAACAUUUAGGUCUGAGAAGAAUACACUGUUCAGUUGCCAAAUUAGCUCUGAUUACUAGAGGCAUUGCCAUAGAGAAUACACUAGUUAAUGAUGAACUACUGGCCAAUAACUGCCAGGCUUUGUAUAAAUUUUAACCUGGGCAGGUUAACUUUGAUUGGUAAAGGCAUUGCCCUGAGAAAUGAACCAGCGAAUAGUUGUGCCUGUUGUUCAUUCCGAAAGUUCUUGGGUGAUGAGUGCAAAAUUUAAGCUUCGACAAAAUGUGCCUUUUCUCAGCAGUAUGAAAGUGAGAUCAUUGAAGAGCAUGCAAGGUGAAUUGAGAUGGAUAUCGAAGUCGAGGAUAAGGAGUUGCUAAAGUGCAAAGGCUGAGGGUGGAAAUGAAUAAGGAUAUCUUGUAGAGAAGUAUGAGCAUCGAGUGCCAAAAGAAUACCAUGACAGAAAUCCACGAAUAAACCUGACAUUUCGAACAAUUUACCCUGAAACACAAAGGAGUUGAAGAUGAAAUGAAUACAGAGGAUAACAAUGUGCACAUAAAUGAAGAACAAAAGACCUCCACCAGGCUUUGUUAGUUUUUGUUUGAAAGUUGAACAUUUGAAUUGUACAAUUGAAAUAAAAGAAAAUCUUUAAUAGGCCAGUGUUUCAAUUGAAGACAUAGCCAAAAGAAAACUAAACAAAUGUGUUUAGACUGUAUCUGAUAAUAAUACCAUGAAAUAAUUUUAAUGCUUGGACUUUAAUUUAAAGUUGAAUAUCUAGAUAAUUUCACUUUUAUAAAUUUAGGAAAAAACUUGUUCUGGAUCUGCUGUAAUUUAUCUAGACAGGAAGCUGAUCUAUAGAAAAUAGGUACAACAGAGUUGUGUGUGAUGUUGGAAAACAUUUGUCGCAUCAUGUUGUUUAUUGAUCCACAAAAUUUGCUUGUCUGGUAAUAUACAUUGGAGUGUUAGAUUGGCAUACCUAUUGUUUCAAGGCUGAGGAAUUUGUUCUAAAUAAGAAUCAAAGGUACAUGAGGCAUGAUGUUGAGCGUUCGAUAAUGAGUUGAAAAAUAUGAAUCAAAAUUAAUUAUGUUUGUUUCAUACAAUACAAGCAAUAGUUGGCAGUGAGUUAACUUGCCAAGAAUACAUCUGCUCAACUUCAAAAUGCAGACUAAAUUUUUAAAAAAACAAAUUGAGAAUUCAGCUGUAGACUUUAGUGGUAAAUAUUAUUACAUUGGAUAAGCUUUAUAAGGAAUUUGCUACUUAAAACAAGUUGUAGAAGUUCAUACAUAGACCAAUGUCAAACGUGGUUAAGAACUGCAUACUAUAGAUUCAUUGCUUCAUUUGAAAGGACUCAAACUUUAUUGACUUAAUUUAGACUUCUAAAAGUGGUAGAUUUGGCAGCCAAAAACUGGUGGCAAAUGCCAAGUUUUGAACGCUUCAUCUCAUUUUCUAACAUACUUUCAAAGUUUAAAAAAAAUGCAACAGACCAUAAGAAAACAUAUUAAGGAAUGCAAUGCAGUCACUUAUUGAAGGUUUAACUCGGGUGUUCUUUUUUAUUUAAGGGCUUAUUUAUUGUAUCCUGCAGCAAUCACUCUUUAAAUUGUAUUGCUAAGCUACACAGCAACUUUUCUUGUUGGAGAUGACUUUUGUACAUAACUAAAAUAGCUUAUCAUCUUCAAACAAAAUAUUAUCGCCUGUUGACUCAGUGAGCACCUGAACCAUGCAAUCCAAAAAAGAUUUGGCUCCUGAUCUGUGUUGAGUUAGCUAAUCUUAGCCAGGAUACAAUAGAGAAAUUGCAAAUGACCUCUGAGCUUCUGGAUUAGAAAGAGAAGUAUUUGCUGGGACUCUAAAUUACUGUGUAGCCCCCGCAAUGGAAAUUACCUCCUGUGGGCUACGAGAGGACAGAGACUAGUUUGACAAUGGUGUCCCUGCUGUUGAAGUACCUGUUUCCAGCCAGUGUUGAGAGUUGCACAUGCAUAGUUGUGACUUGAGCCAGAAUGGGAGCAGAGAUAUUGUUGAAAAAAAACACUGGCUACAGAUUAAAAUUAGUGGAAUUUGUGAUAUAAAGAUGUGCAAUUGAUGCACACUAAAUAAACAGAAGGUCUGUAUUAAACCAAACUGCAGUCUGUUUGUUGCAAUUAUUUUCAGUAGACAUUUACCGGUCUGUACUCCAGAAAAAUGCUGUCCGAUGCUAAUCGGCUUUUUUUUUAAGAAACAACAGUGAUGUUUGGUUUUUUGUGCUUGUUGCCAAAGAACAGGGCUGUCCUAUUUGAUUUCAGUAGAUUUUCUGUGUUCGGAAGCUGUGAAAUAUGUUUGCUAAUAAAAUGGGUGUAAACUUUCAA